rnacentral:rRNA from 1 species
GCCUGCACCAUCGACCGACCAUGAUCUUCUGUGAAAGGUUUGAGUACGAGCAUACCUGUUGGGACCCGAAAGAUGGUGAACUAUGCCUGAGCAGGGCGAAGCCAGAGGAAACUCUGGUGGAGGCUCGUAGAUGUGCUGACGUGCAAAUCGCUUUUCGGACUUGGGUAUAGGGGCGAAAGACUACUAGUAGCUGGUUCCCUCCGAAGUUUCCCCCAGGAUAGCUGGAGCUUGAUCAGUUUUAUCGGGUAAAGCGAAUGAUUAGAGGUACCGGGGAUGAAACAUCCUCGACCUAUUCUCAAACUUUAAAUAGGUAAGACGUCUGGGUUGCUUAAUUGAACCCAGGCAUUCAAUGAGAGCUCCAAGUGGGCC